UCCCCUUGAAGUCAAACCGCACCGACCUUGCAGUGCGCCGGCGCGCGCGAUGUGGUUCACGCGUUGCCUUGCUGUUGCCCCUCAUCUGUGCGUUUCUUGUUGUUCUUCUGAAGAGAUAUAAAUAUGCAAAUGCAGUCAACUGUUGUUUUGCUAAGGGGAGCCUUGGCGCAGUGGUAAAGCUGCUGCCUUGUGACCAUGAGGUCAUGGGUUCAAGUCCUGGAAACAGCCUCUUACAAAAAUGUAGGGAAAGGCUGCGUACUAUAGACCCAAAGUGGUCGGACCCUUCUCUGGACCCUGCGCAAGCGAGAGCUACAUGCAUCAGGUUGCCCUUUUUUAGUCAACUGUUGUUUUGCUCUUCAGGUUCAUUUUUACUUCUCUUUUUUUGCAGAAAAGAUAGCCAGUGCAUUCCGCCGACCUCCUCCCACAUGCCCACCUGAAGUGCAUUGCUGUUGGGCGCCCUUGGAUCUGAUUGUGUAUUUUUUUUAGAAACGUGUAUUUUUUUAAGUAGUCUUUGUAAAGUUUUGGUCUAUUUGUGGACUCCCAUUUGAUUGCAGCCCAUGUGCACGACGCGUGCAGUCCUGUUGGCCGGGCUGAGCAGGAUGGUUCCCUGUUGUAGUGCACGUUGCCGGGCGUGUAGUCCAAAACAUCUCCCGGUGCAUCCCGUGCUGUUGGACAGCCAUCGGUGAACCGAAGAAGUUGGGAUAUACUUUGUGUGUGAUUGUAAUGUGGAGACAUAAAAAGGGACUAUUUGUGUGGAUUACUCAGUUUGUAAAAUCGUUUCUUUGUAAAAGCAGUGCGCUUGGUGAACUGAAGAAGUACAUUUUUCAAAAUUAUUGUAGUUCAUUGUUAAAAAAAGUUGUGGUUCCCUUAUUGGAGUGCACAUAAAAUUGCAUUGGGAGUUGUAGUGCACUUUGUUGUUGCGUACACAUGAUGAUUUUCAGUCCGUUUGAUGCAGUGCGGUUUCGGUCUGAAGCAGUGCACUGAUCUAUCUGAUGCAGCGCACUUCGUUAUCGCGUACACACGAUGAUUUUCACUCCGUUUUGAUGCAGUGCGGUUUUGGUCUGAAGCAGUGCACUUAUCUG
rnacentral:lncRNA from 1 species